GAUGAACGCUGGCGGCGUGCUUAACACAUGCAAGUCGAACGAAGCACUUUAUUUGAUUUCCUUCGGGACUGAUUAUUUUGUGACUGAGUGGCGGACGGGUGAGUAACGCGUGGGUAACCUGCCUUGUACAGGGGGAUAACAGUUGGAAACGGCUGCUAAUACCGCAUAAGCGCCCAGCAUCGCAUGAUGCAGUGUGAAAAACUCCGGUGGUAUAAGAUGGACCCGCGUUGGAUUAGCUAGUGGGUGAGGUAACGGCCCACCAAGGCGACGAUCCAUAGACGACCUGAGAGGGUGACCCGCCACAUUGGGACUGGGACACGGCCCAAACUCCUACGGGAAGCAGCAGUGGGGAAUAUUGCACAAUGGGCGAAAGCCUGAUGCAGCGACGCCGCGUGAGCGAAGAAGUAUUUCGGUAUGUAAAGCUCUAUCAGCAGGGAAGAUAAUGACGGUACCUGACUAAGAAGCACCGGCUAAAUACGUG
rnacentral:rRNA from 1 species